ensembl:lncRNA
ACCUAAUGUAAAGCACAGGGUAGUAUAUUCAAUAUUUUAUAAUAAACUAUAAGAGAAAAAUCUAAAAAAGAAUACACGCACACAUAUCGGAAUCACUUUGCUGUAUUUCUGAAACUAACACACUUUUUUUUGUUUUUGUUUUUUAAAAAGACUUCUGUAAGUAAAACUAAUGGACUUUGGCCCCAUUUUAAUCAACACCAAAUUGCAAAAUGAUGCUGUUUCUCUAUCCACAGUGGUUUGGAUUGGGAGAAAUGGAUGAAACCAUAACGCGGUUUUAAAAUUCUCUACACACUUGAGAAGACAGACUAAAACGCACCUUAGGUCUGAUCAUGAUAAAAUAGGAUUUGGUAUGAUUAGCAGGAACAUUAAACAUGUGAUGGAUCUUUCUCAAUUAAAAAAAAAAAUCCUCUCAACCCGUGGAAAUACCAUACCAAAUUUUGAAUUCUUUGAAUUCAUCUUGAGUUCUUUCCUAUGUUUUUAAAUUAAAUUUUGAUUCUUCAUUAAAUGAUGUCUUCCCCAGUGCUUAAGCUCCACAUUUCCAUUUUUAAAGGAACCUGCGGCAAAGGUAAAUCGCAUGAUAGUUGCUGAGAAACAGAGCAUCUGCGAUUAGUUCAAGUUGGUUUUUUCAAGUACAGUGUAUUCCUCAGCGGCAUCAGAAUAUAAAGUGUCUUCUAGUUGGAGUUCAGUGAGGAUGAAAAUAUUACCUCUCUCCUUGGGUGGGGCUCUGAAACUGUCAGUGACUUAGAAGCCAUAAGAAUAAGCCAAGCCAUUAUAACCAAAUUUAAAGAGAGCCAAGCCAUAGGGUUCCAUAUGGAGGUAGUUGGUUGGACCUUCCAAUUUCGACCAAUAUGAGAGCUGGUAGUUAUUAAUCGCAUGUAUGUAUCAGGUGCUGUGCUGAUCGGCAAAUGAAAGCCCUGAUCCUCAAGAUGCUCAAUGACAGCCCAAGGUCACACCGAGAGUGUCAUUCUCCAGAUUCUGUGCACUGGACCUGACCAUCAUCCACCUCCCCACAGCAUCUCAUCCUUGUAACAGCAACCAGUUUCUGCAGCAACCACAAGCGCUAGUAAAUCUAAGCAGGACCAGCAAGGUCAAUGUUUUGGGGGCCAUGGCUGACAGAACACCAGCGUGAUGAGACUUUGGAGCCAAAUCAGGGCCAUGACUGGUCCAGAGGAUGUUUUUGAGAAACCCACUAUUGUGGGUCAUCUUGGUCACCUCUCUUCUCACACCUGGACCUCAUUCCGUCUGUCUGAAAACUGCAGUGGCCUGACCGUGAGAACCCCAGCUUAGCCAUGCAACCAAGUGGUCAGAAUGCACCCACCCAAUAUCCUCCUUUCUGGCCAUUUCUUAGUCUUGGGCACGUCUCUGGGAUCAUGGUUGGGCUUUCUCUGAGCUGUUCAUAUGUCCAUGUGGUUUGUGUGUGUGUGUGUGUGUGGGUGUGUGUGUGUGUGUGUGUGUGUGUGUGGUGGGGAGAAGCAGUCCCAGAGGUGGGAGCCAGGAACAUCACAAGGGGAGUGUUUGUGGAAAAUUGUGACAUUGAAACAGUUAUCCUCAGUGGCCUCUGCUAUGUUCUAAUUCCCCUCACACUGUUGGUAGACCUCUGCCCCCACUUUAGAUUCCAUAAACAUCUCAGACAAGUCCUUUGAACUUUAGUAUGAACUUUAGUCCCAAGGGGUACUUACGAUUUCCAAUGCAACCCCUCCAUCCCCUUUCUCUUUCACUCAGGAAAGCAAGUAUGAUGGCUAAAGAGUGGAAAGGACAUCCCAGAAACAGCUACUUGAAGUGUUCUAAAAAGGCACAAUAACAGUUUUAAAUUUACCAGCAAUAACGAAUUAACUGCAGCUGAGCUCACAAUUCAUCAGGACACAUCAGCAUGUUAGGCAGUUGCCAUGGAGACCUGCAGGGUGAGAGUGUAAAACACAGGGGCCCAAGGUCCCGAGACCCAGAUCUCAGUUCUAGCUGUUGACCCGGUGUAAGUCACUGGGGCUGAGUUUCCUCCUCCAUAAAAUGAGAUGGCUAGACUUUGGAGCUUAAUUUAGCUAGAAGAGUCUAAGCCUCCGGUAAGGACAAGAAUGAUGGGACAUCAUCUGUAUUUGUAGAUGCGUUACUAUUUGCCAUAGAGGGUGAACUUCUGCAGACUCCCCUGGUUAUUCUGCAUGGUCAUAGAACCUUAGCCUGGCAUUGAGGCAUUGAAGCCAGCAGGUGGCCUGGCAGGCACUGGUCCCCAAAAUGAGUCCAGGAUGUUGUGUGCAGACCGUAGGUGAGUUCUUUCUCUUCCUUGGGGGCAAAUUCUACCAAGAACCUGCUUCCCUGGAGCUUGAAAAGGGAUGGACAGACUAUUGCAGAUAGUGACGCCAAAGCAGAUUCAUUUUUCCUUUUCUGACUGAUGGGGCAAUGUCAUGGCCAAAGCUACAAGGCUACAGCACAGGCAAAUUAUGCCUCAGCAAUUCUGCCAACAUGCCGGGUUAAUUGCCUUUGCAGACCUCUGUUUGAUGCAGAGCCAAAAGGAGAAAAAAUGAUUUAGACUUUCAGUAAUCUCUUGGGGGUGACGCCUUCAGCCACUUAAAGGGAAUAAAAAAAUUCUAGAAAUUUAGGUCUCUUUUAAAAUUCCUCCCAGACUCACUCCAUCUAUCAUCCAAGCUGAAACUGCUCUUAUGAUAUAUUGUAGAUGGAGACCACACUACAUCAUCGGAGUCUGACAUUGCCACGGUUCUGUAGUAGGUUAUAAUGCAACGUAACAAAUUACAGUGGUGGACAUUGACAAAUUCAGUUUGGGGGGAGUUUAAAUUAAUUUUGAGCUGCUUCAAGUUGGUUUAGAAAGUAAUUUUUAAAUAAAUCAGAGGUAGAUGGUGAAAGAGAGCUCCACGACUAACAUGUGCAUAGGAAGUUCAGGGCCAAAUCUGGCUUUAAUCCUUGGGACGAAUGGGAGCAUCAAUUAGACCCAGACACCUUACCUUCUACAAGAACAGAGCCAGCAGAGGCAGAAAGGGCUGACCUCACAGGCAACGAUAGGAACGUCAAUUGAUGGAGUGCACUCUAGGGUUCUAUGGGCAGCGUUAGCGCAUCUUAUUUCCUGGAGACAAAAUUGGGUUUCUUGGAGGGCAAGAUAUAGAAUUGUAUAGCCAAGUAUCUGAAAUACUGGAUGAUGCUACAAAUAACAGAGCUGCUUUUCAGUACAUAGCAAAUCAUAGAGGUGUGGUGGUGAAGUAGAAAACACACAGAAUUAGGAAUCGAGAAACCUAUGUUCUAUUCCCGUGCCUUACACCUGAUAGUGUGGGAACCUGGGUCUCUGAAUCUCAGUUCCUUCAUCUGCUAAAGAGGGGAAUAACCAAAGCAUCCUAUGUGCUGCACUGAAUUCUUAGAAAGAGGGGGAAGUGUAUAUGAAACCCUUUGCCCUUCGGAACUGAGAGCGUAGCAAUAGAUUUAUUGUUGUUGUGACCAUUAUUUUGGUGUGUUUUAUUUUUAUUCAAAAAUUUUUACCAAAGAUGGUGGAUGUAUAAUAUGUUAGUUUCAAGCGUACAUCAGAGUGAUUCAGUUAUGUAUAUACGUGUGUGUGUGUGAGUACAUAUAUUUAUGUUUAUGUGCUUUUUCGGAUUCUUUUCCCAUAGAGGUUAAUAAAACAUAUAGCUCCCUGUGCUAUACAGUAGGUCCUUUUAGUUAUCUCUUUUAUAUACAAUAGUGGGUAUAUGUUAAGCCCAAACUCAUAAAUCAUCCACCUGCCCUUCCUUCAGUUACUGUAAGUUUUUUUCUAUGUCUGUAGGUCUAUUUCUGUUUUGUAUGUAUGUUCAUUUGUCUCAGUUUUUUCAGAUUUCCCCAUAUAAGUGAUAUCAUUUGAUAUUUGUCCUUCUCUUUCUGACUUAUUUCACUUACUAUUAUAAUCUCUGUGUCUAUCUAUAUUGCUGCAAAUGACAUCAUUUCUUUUUUUAUGGCUGAGUAAUAUUCCACUGUAUCAAUAUACCGGAUCUUCUUUAUCCAUUCCUCUGUCGAUUGACAUUCAGUUUGCUUCCAUGUCUUGGUUAUUAUAAAUAGUGCUACUAUGAACAUUGGGGUGUUUGUAUCUUUUCGAAUUAUGGUUUUCUUCAGACAGCUGCCCAGGAGUGGGAUUGCUAGUUCCUUUAGUUUUUAAGGAACCGCCAUACAGUUUUCCACAGUGGUUGUACUAAUUUAGAUUCCCUCCAACAGUGUAAGAGGGUUCCCUUUUCUCCACACCCUCUCCAGCAUUUAUUAUUUGUAGACUUUUUAAUGAUGGGCAUUCUGACAGGUGUUAUUUUUGGUGUAUUUUAGAAGGCAAGGCAUUCUGCUUUGAGAAGGAUCACACUGAUGUAAUGUAAAUCAUGUGCUGAAUAAGCAAUGGCAGGAGCAGGGACUGGGUGUUUUGUUGUGGGAAAGAUGUUGAGCUGGAUCUGAGUGGGACCUUGUCACAUGCAUCAGUGAAUGGAUUCCACCGUAUCCUAAAACGGGAAAGGCUGCCCGCCAUCUUGGGGAGACGCUGCAUCUCUUACAAAGACAGAGGUGAAAAAAAAAUUUGAGCCAGUAGAGCUUUUUUCCACAAAGAACUACUCAGUUUCUCAGUGCAUGGGGGAAUCAAUUAGCCACAGUGCCGUGUUCAGGUAGACUUUAGAUUAGCUCGAGACCACUCCACUAUAGAUAAUUAACCUUCGUACCCAAAUUAGCAGUGAAAUAAGCCAGUUAUUAGUUUUCAUAAUGAACAAAAUUGAGUAUUUUGGAAAGUUAAACCCCUAGAGCUUAAAUUAAAAUAAGCAUCUGGGAGAAAUCCCUAAAGUAUACUUCAAUUCAUUAAUCCUACAAAUUCCACAGUAGAUUGAACUGACAAUGUGCCUUCUCUAAAGGAAAUUGAGUCUCUCAAAUAAUCAUUUGGAUUGACCUCAGAGAGUGAUUCUACUUGAUGCCCAGAAUCUCAAAGACCAGCUGAAUAACUGAGGAGAUGUCCUUUUCCUGCUAAGAGGCAAGUGGCAGGCGGAGAAGAAGAGACGCUGCACCUGGCAGGAAAGCAAACAAACGGUUUUAUUAAAGGUUGAAAGAAAAUUGUCUUCGCUCUGGCCUGGAGGAUGAGGUCGGGGUGACUUGACUUUAGCAUGACAGUCAGUGGAGAUCAGUGGGUGAGAUGCUGGAAGGAUGGGUGCUCUCACCUGCUGGCUGUGUGACUUUGGAAAAGCUGCUAAACUUCACAUCUCAAUUUCCUCCUUGGUGGACUGGGAGAAGUACUGACUGCCCUGCUCAUCUUACAGGUUUGAGGAUUAAUGUACACAAAACUCUGUCCAUGGAGAGGCGCUCGAAACAUCCACCUAGUCUUCUCUUUUCGCUGGAAAUAACCUUGUAUUUCCUAUCCCCAUCCCCCUAGGAAAAUGACAAAAUGUCAACAUAAUCAAGGACUCGGAUAUUAAGGACUAUGCAUUCAAAUAUUUGCUGGAGUUCCCAUGGUGGCUCAGUGGUAACGAACCCGACUAGCAUCCACGAGGAGGCGAGUUCGAUCCCUGGCCCCACUCAGUGGGUGAAGAAUCUGGCAUGGCCGUGAGCUGUGGUGUAGGUUGCAGACUUUGCUCAGAUCUGGUGUUGCUGUGGCUGUGACACAGGCCAGUAGCUGCAGCUCUGAUUUGACCCCUAGCCUGGGAACUUUCCUAUGCCACAAGAGUGGUCCUAAAAAAGACAAAAAAAAAAAAAA